AGGAAGAUCAUCCCUAUGGAACUGUCAUCCCAAUGAGUUGAUCGUAAAUCUUUUUUCGAGGAUCAAAGGGAAUGCAAAUCUGGUGCCAGCAACCGUAGUAAUUCCAGCUCCAC
rnacentral:ncRNA from 1 species